rnacentral:rRNA from 1 species
AUUGAACGCUGGCGGCAUGCUUUACACAUGCAAGUCGAACGGUAACAGGCCGCAAGGUGCUGACGAGUGGCGAACGGGUGAGUAAUGCAUCGGAACGUGCCCAGUCGUGGGGGAUAACUACUCGAAAGAGUAGCUAAUACCGCAUACGAUCUAUGGAUGAAAGCGGGGGACCGUAAGGCCUCGCGCGAUUGGAGCGGCCGAUGUCAGAUUAGGUAGUUGGUGGGGUAAAGGCUCACCAAGCCAACGAUCUGUAGCUGGUCUGAGAGGACGACCAGCCACACUGGGACUGAGACACGGCCCAGACUCCUACGGGAGGCAGCAGUGGGGAAUUUUGGACAAUGGGCGCAAGCCUGCUCCAGCAAUGCCGCGUGCAGGAAGAAGGCCUUCGGGUUGUAAACUGCUUUUGUACGGAACGAAACGGCUCUGGUUAAUACCCGGGGCUAAUGACGGUACCGUAAGAAUAAGCACCGGCUAACUACGUG